UCUACGGGGGGCAGCAGUAGGGAAUAUUGCUCAAUGGGGGAAACCCAGAAGCAGCAACGCCGCGUGGAGGAUGAAGGUCUUCGGAUCGUAAACCUCUGUCAGCAGGGAAGAACGGUCACUGUGCUAAUCAGCAGUGAAUUGACGGUACCUGCAAAGGAAGCACCGGCUAACUCCGUGCCAGCAGCCGCGGUAAUACGGAGGGUGCGAGCGUUAAUCGGAAUUACUGGGCGUAAAGCGCUCGUAGGCGGUAUGGCAAGUCAAGGGUGAAAUCCCCGCGCUCAACGUGGGAACUGCCUUUGAAACUGGCAAACUGGAGUGUGUGAGAGGAUAGUGGAAUUCCAGGUGUAGGAGUGAAAGCCGUAGAUAUCUGGAGGAACAUCAGUGGCGAAGGCGACUAUCUGGCACAUAACUGACGCUGAGGAGCGAAAGCGUGGGUAGCAAACAGGAUUAGAUACCCUUGUAGUC
rnacentral:rRNA from 1 species